rnacentral:lncRNA from 1 species
GUUUAUUUUUUAUUAACAAUUACAAAAGUUAUGUUAUAUCAAUAUACUCUUGAGCUACUUUUUUUUUAUCUGUUUCCUAGCUAAAUAUUUUGAUUUUACCCGUUUGCCACGUUAGAGAUCGAAGAUAUAUAUCUUGAAUCAACCGCUCAUUGAAUUUAUACAGGAUCUACUUGAAAAAAUUGCUCCCACUUGGAUGAAUGUUUCUUUAAGAAUGAAGGAUGAUCCUGAGACUGAUAAAACUUUUGGAUGGGUGCUAGAAAUGUAUGCGUAUGUUGUGGCUUCUGCUUUGCAUGGUGUACAGCACAUUCAUUAGAAAGAUUUUAUGCUCCAGGUAUAUACAUCUACUGAUAGUUCUUAAUCACGAUUCACGAGUCUAAAUUUACGAUUAUUAAAAUUAACGUUUUGGACCAUAAAAAACCUACUUACUGUUCUCAUUUUGCACAAAAUGUUCUUAAUCCGGUUUAGUACAUUAGAAUCCCUGAUUUGUUUAAUAUACACAAACUUGUGAACUUAACAGUAAAUAUCAGUUACUGGAACAAUCAUCACACAUGUGCGGGUUACGUAGGUGAUUUUUUGUUGGCGUUGAUACCAUGUACAUUGUUGCCGACAUAGAAUGCGGCCUUAUGAAAGGUUACUGUUUUAGAUAAAAAAAUUCUUAUUAUCUUACAUGGUAAACAAGUUAACCACUUCAUCAUUUUUCAAACCUGUAACAUCAUUUCAUCAAAAUUUGAUCGGUUUACAAGGGGUAACUAGUCAUUUAAAAAAAAGUUCAUGAGUAUGUUAUAUGUAUACUUUAAACAAGUUAGAAAUCCACACAUGAAGAUAAAGCAAUUCCAUAUUAAUUUUGGGGUUGUUUAAAUUAUUUAUGACGCCAUCUGGUUUUUAAACCCGUCCGACCAGUGACCCAGCAAGGCAGCGCUUCAAUAAGUGACAAAAAGCAUUGAUUUCCAUACAUUUUUAGUGGCUUUUGACUUCCAUAAACUUGUUGCCCGACUACCUGCCAUUGCUUUGUAAUUGCCCUUUUUCGUGUGGAAUGAUAUUGUAGUUACUUUAAAAAAAAGUGCUUAAAAUAGAAGUAUCGAAAGUGAACUAGACGCCUUGAAUCCGAGGAGCUAAGACAAACACAAAACAAGAUCAUCCUUUUGUUCUUAAUGAAUAUAAUCACAUAACUUUUUUGUUGGUGACUUGCUUUUACUAUGCUUAUUAGAGAAAGAUAUUUGUGUAGCUUAUCUUUAUCUUUCACAGGUUUAUGAUGACUUUCUUGAAGAAUCAAUCUGAAAUGUGAUUUUAAUCUUAUCAUUUCUCUUUAAGGAUCGCUUCACUGUUUUUAUUCCAACUCUGAUUCCAUAGAUUUGAAAUUGCAAAAUUAAAUAAAAAUACGUUUAGAUGAAUACUAGAUCUAUUGGUGGAUCUAGGAUUAUUUAUAUACGGGCGGCAAUUCUUUUACUGUCGUUUGUCUAUCGCUAAAUAUUUGUUUUUCUUGUUUGGGUCGCAUCUAGGGGUGUUCAAAAAAAUCCGAAUCCGAAACCGAAUCCGAAAUAUCCGAAAACCCGUAUCCGAAAUAUCCGAAAUUUCGGAUAUCCGAAAAUUCGGAUAUCCGAAAAUCGGAUAAUCCGAAAAUUCGGAUUCGGAUUCGGAUGUCAGUUUUAAAAAUUUUCGGAUUAUCCGAAUCCGAAAUCUUAAAAAUAAAAAAAUAGAUAUAUUUUUAAUAUAUUAAAUCCAUUAACCUAAAAUAGAUGUAUCAUGUUUCAUACUUUCAGUAACAUGCGCAUUCACACUUGAAAAAAAAAAACUAGGGUUUCGUUCUAGUCUAAUUCACAGCGCCGCCCCCCUCGAUCCUUUCUGAUCUUCAAGUGCCAUCCGUUCGUCUUCAAGCUCCAUUGGUCUUCAAGCGCCACUCUCCCUCGUCGAGCCUCUCCGAUCGGACGUCACCAUCGUCGGGCCUCUCCGAUCCGACGUCCCUAAUCGAUACUUGGAUAUUGUUUGGUUUGUGAGUUCACAUCUUCAUCACAAAUCUUCUAAUUUCUACUACAACAGAUAUGAUGGAAUUGACAUUGGAAUAACCCACCAUCAUCAUUGAUGAAAAAGUUGAUGAAAGGAGCGAGUCCGCUUAACGUACUUUUGUUUUAAAAAAAUGGUUGAUGUUGAGAAAUUUUGAAGGCAUUAUUUUCCAGCAAUUUUGAAGGUUGAUGUGUCCACUGACCAACAAUAUGUCCAGCAAUUUUAAAGGCUGAUGUACUCUGUAUAUAUCCAUGUGUUUGACAGAUAAUAUGUUCAGCAAUUUUGAAUAUUCUGUGAUGUUUAUGCUUGAAUUUUAUUAUUAGUUUGUUAAAUGUAUUAGAUAUUA